CCUACGGGUGGCAGCAGUGGGGAAUAUUGGACAAUGGGCGAAAGCCUGAUCCAGCCAUGCCGCGUGUGUGAAGAAGGCCUUCGGGUUGUAAAGCACUUUCAGUGGGGAAGAAAGCCUUGGGGCUAAUACCCUCGAGGAAGGACAUCACCCACAGAAGAAGCACCGGCUAACUCCGUGCCAGCAGCCGCGGUAAUACGGAGGGUGCGAGCGUUAAUCGGAAUUACUGGGCGUAAAGCGCGCGUAGGCGGUCUGAUAAGUCGGUUGUGAAAGCCCCGGGCUCAACCUGGGAACGGCAUCCGGAACUGUCAGGCUAGAGUGCAGGAGAGGAAGGUAGAAUUCCCGGUGUAGCGGUGAAAUGCGUAGAGAUCGGGAGGAAUACCAGUGGCGAAGGCGGCCUUCUGGACUGACACUGACGCUGAGGUGCGAAAGCGUGGGUAGCAAACAGGAUUAGAUACCCUGGUAGUC
rnacentral:rRNA from 1 species